rnacentral:lncRNA from 1 species
GCUUCUUUAUAAGAACAACUCACCAGGAUUAUCUGAAAUCAUAUAACAAAGUAUCUUCAACUUGGCAAUGGAGGAACAAAGAUGAGGUGGGCCAAAAAAAGAGAAUUUACUACCACUCAGGAUUGAGUGACUCUACUGAGGAUGUUGUGAGCUACUGAAUGGACAAAACCUGCAUGGAAUUAAAGGUCUUUCCCUGAAGAAAUGAGGGAGAUUCUUUGAAUGAAACUAGAUUUCCCAAAACAUUGUAAGUAAGAGUGAAUGGAAUAAAAUCUGGAUUUAUUUUCUUUCUUUUUCCUAAUUAUUUUCCUUUGCAUUCAUGUGUAUUCAUACUUAAUAC